UCCCAGCUUUCCAAAGUUUGUACUUUUCUGGCUGGAACUUUCUCACAAACACAUCCAUGGAGAUCUUCACCAUGUCCUUUCUACAGGAGCACUGUCAGCAGGAACCAGAAGAGCACCAGAAAGAAAUCAAGCAGACUUACCAGCACAGCUUGCUUGCCAUACUCAAUCCACCGACGGGUAGCAAAAUUGGUAGACUCCGCACAGUUAAAACCAUGGUUAAAGCCAGCAUGGUAACCAUAAGGGAAAGUGAUCAUAAACUCUCCAGCCUCUUGAGUCACCUGAACAAGAGCAGACUUGAAGCAGCUGCUUCAAAUGGCAGAAGUCCACAGAACUGGAAUUCUGAGCUCCACCACAACUUAGCUGAGUAACAAAGGUGGAAACACCAGUCAUACUGGGUGUGGUUCAUUAUCGCUGGUCAAAGAAACACCCCUGCUCAUUAAAACUGAGGCACAGACAAUCAGGACAAAGGAAGAAAAGGCUCCGUCACUGCCCUCUUAAGGUAACCAAUGUGGCUCACCCCCGUCUGCAGGCCUGCGACAGGACCUGCAAGUAUCUGACCAUGGGGAACGCACAUUUUAGUGUAGAGCAAGGAGCACAGCUCAUAGGAGGGUCCAAUCCAGGAAACAGAAGAGACACAGUACCUUUGGCGAGGCGUUCCAACCGCUUUCCAUGCUCAGGUGGAACAGAGUACCUGCAAUCACAUGAGAGCAUCAGAGGCUGGGCGGAGGACAGGUACAGAAGCUAAGGGACUUAUUCCCACUCUCAAAACACCUUGAAA